rnacentral:tRNA from 2 species
CGGGAUGUAGCGCAGUCCGGUUAGCGCGCUUCGUUCGGGACGAAGAGGCCGGGAGUUCAAAUCUCCCCAUCCCGA